CUGUAGAUUGAUUCAUUUGAGGUGACUGAGUGGCGGACGGGUGAGUAACGCGUGGGUAACCUACCUCAUAGAGGGGGACAACAGUUGGAAACGACUGCUAAUACCGCAUAGUAAGAAAGAUUCGCAUGUUUCUUUCUUGAAAGAUUUAUCGCUAUGAGAUGGACCCGCGUCUGAUUAGCUAGUUGGUAAGGUAACGGCUUACCAAGGCGACGAUCAGUAGCCGGCUUGAGAGAGUGAACGGCCACAUUGGGACUGAGACACGGCCCAAACUCC
rnacentral:rRNA from 1 species